CCUACGGGGGGCAGCAGUGGGGAAUAUUGGACAAUGGGGGCAACCCUGAUCCAGCCAUGCCGCGUGUGUGAAGAAGGCCCUCGGGUUGUAAAGCACUUUCAGUGAGGAAGAACGCCUGGUGGUUAAUACCCAUCAGGAAAGACAUCACUCACAGAAGAAGCACCGGCUAACUCCGUUGCCAGCAGCCGCGGUAAUACGGAGGGUGCGAGCGUUAAUCGGAAUUACUGGGCGUAAAGCGCGCGUAGGUGGCUUGAUAAGCCGGUUGUGAAAGCCCCGGGCUCAACCUGGGAACGGCAUCCGGAACUGUCAAGCUAGAGUGCAGGAGAGGAAGGUAGAAUUCCCGGUGUAGCGGUGAAAUGCGUAGAGAUCGGGAGGAAUACCAGUGGCGAAGGCGGCCUUCUGGACUGACACUGACACUGAGGUGCGAAAGCGUGGGUAGCAAACAGGAUUAGAUACCCUAGUAGUC
rnacentral:rRNA from 1 species